rnacentral:lncRNA from 1 species
AUGGCUUCCAGCGGGAUCUGGAUGAGCGCUGCCUGCUUGGCUAAUGAAACUCCCGAAAUACUGGACAAUGUGGGAGAUUAGCCUCAGGGCGUCUACCGCUUUGCCACUGAUAGGAGUGACUUCUGGAGGAACUUGAUCCUCGAUUUGGGACUCUUUGCUGCGGGAGUUUGGCUGGCCAGGUACUUCAGUGACAUUGACCUCAUGGCACCUCAGCCAGGAGUGU